CACGUAGGGCGCGAGCGUUGUCCGGAAUUAUUGGGCGUAAAGAGCUCGUAGGCGGCCUGUUGCGUCCGCUGUGAAAGCCCGGGGCUUAACCCCGGGUCUGCAGUGGAUACGGGCAGGCUAGAGGUAGGUAGGGGAGAAUGGAAUUCCCGGUGUAGCGGUGAAAUGCGCAGAUAUCGGGAGGAACACCGGUGGCGAAGGCGGUUCUCUGGGCCUUACCCGACGCUGAGAAGCGAAAGCGUGGGGAGCGAACAGG
rnacentral:rRNA from 1 species